rnacentral:rRNA from 1 species
GACGAACGCUGGCGGCGUGCUUAACACAUGCAAGUCGAACGGAAAGGCCCUGCUUUUGUGUGGUUCUCGAGUGGCGAACGGGUGAGUAACACGUGAGUAACCUGCCCUUUACUUUGUGAUAACUUCAGGAAACUGGUGCUAAUACCGGAUAGGAGCUCCUGCUGCACGGUGGGGGUUGGAAAGUUUCGGCGGUUGGGGAUGGACUCGCGGCUUAUCAGCUUGUUGGUUGGGUAGUUGCUUACCAAGGCUUUGACGGGUAGCCGGCCUGAGAGGGUGACCGGCCACAUUGGGACUGAGAUACGGCCCAGACUCCUACGGGAGGCAGUAGUGGGGAAUAUUGCACAAUGGGCGGAGGCCUGAUGCAGAAACGCCGCGUGCGGGAUGACGGCCUUCGGGUUGUAAACCGCUUUCGCCUGUGACGAAGCGUGAGUGACGGUAAUGGGUAAAGAAGCACCGGCUAACUACGUG